UCUAUAAUAAGUUAAUUAAACUAUUGAAUUUUUACUUCAAUUAUAUCAAUAGAUUUAUAGAU
rnacentral:tRNA from 1 species